rnacentral:tRNA from 1 species
CGGCGUGUAGGAAAGCCAGGUCAAUCCGCCUGCUUCGGGAGCAGGAGAACGCGGGAUCGAAGCCCGCCACGCCGA